UCCCUGGUGGUCUAGUGGUUAGGAUUCAGUGCUUGCAUCGCUGUAGCCCGGGUUCAAUCCCUGGUUGGGGAA